AGACCCGAAACCCGGUGAUCUAGCCAUGGGCAGGUUGAAGGUUGGGUAACACUAACUGGAGGACCGAACCGACUAAUGUUGAAAAAUUAGCGGAUGACCUGUGGCUGGGGGUGAAAGGCCAAUCAAACCGGGAGAUAGCUGGUUCUCCCCGAAAGCUAUUUAGGUAGCGCCUCGUGAAUUCAUCUCCGGGGGUAGAGCACUGUUUCGGCUAGGGGGCCAUCCCGGCUUACCAACCCGAUGCAAACUGCGAAUACCGGAGAAUGUUAUCACGGGAGACACACGGCGGGUGCUAACGUCCGUCGUGAAGAGGGAAACAACCCAGACCGCCAGCUAAGGUCCCAAAGUCAUGGUUAAGUGGGAAACGAUGUGGGAAGGCCCAGACAGCCAGGAUGUUGGCUUAGAAGCAGCCAUCAUUUAAAGAAAGCGUAAUAGCUCACUGGUCGAGUCGGCCUGCGCGGAAGAUGUAACGGGGCUAAACCAUGCACCGAAGCUGCGGCAGCGACGCUGAUGCGUUGUUGGGUAGGGGAGC
rnacentral:rRNA from 3 species